AUGUACUCGGUAUGGGUGCUGCUAUGGAUCUUAUACUCUAGUCUGCACAUCAGCAUGUUUCCCGAAUUAGAGGGAGAUCUGUCGCUAGGUCUGCGGCACGGCGAUACCCCGGCGCCAGAAAAGAGCCCUAGCGACAUGUUGAUGCUGAUCCGCACGGACAAAGGGUUGCAGAUCAACAUCCUCGCCAUGCUUAGUGCUGUGUUGAUCAGCAUCCAGGUGGUGCUGGGAUCUCGGCGUCGGCGCUCCCGCAACAAAAUCAUUGUGAACCUGGUGCGGGUCGCUUACACCGUCUCCUUCCCGGUGUUCGGCUACACCAUCGGCCUCAUCCAGUCCGUGGAGGAGCCCAAACAGCUUGAAAGCCAGCUGUUGUGGGCCGUCGGGCUAUUGCUCCUCAUCGGUAGCGUGGACGGCAUGUCGGCCUUCAGCCGGCAGGAGGUCGAGGAUAGCAAAGGAGUUCAGGCGCAGCACAUCAUCCAGACGGUUCUCGUGCUCUGGCUCCUCGUCAGCCGGAGCAACGUCUCCAAGGGCGGGGUGGUCUUGCUGCUCUACUUCCUCCUCUGCUGGGUGUAUAGCAUCUUGAGGGUCACCCAGAAGAUGAAGGCGCUGCGCAAGGCCAGCUCGAUGCACGGCCUUGUGCGCAGCGCCAAGGUGGUGGCUGACUACAUGCAGGAUGUGUAUGCCUCUGGCUCUGGUGAAAGGAAUCAUAUCCCCAUGGACGACAUGGCUAAGUGCAAGUAUCUUGUCCUCGGCGAGGAAAAAGACUCCAGCCCACCGUCCAAGGGGCCCUGCUACCUCUCAGAGGUGGGCGGCAAGGGCAAGCUCAUCACGUUCGACAUGAUUUGGAACAGCAAGGACAAGCUGCUGCUGAGUCCUACUCAUGACGACGACCAGAAGCCUGUGCCUCUCAAAGAUACGUGUCUUUCCUUCGCCUUGUUCAAGUUGCUCAGCCGGCGCUUCUGCCCGGGGCUCCCCAUCGCCGAGGAGGGUAACCUGGAGGCGCUGAAAUUCGUCCUCGCCAAGGACAAGCAUGCCUUCCAUCUCGUGGAGGUCGAGUUGUCGUUCCUGUACGACUUCUUCUACACCAAGUACCCGGCGCUGUUCCCCGCCGCCCCAGCUGCGCUCCGCGUUCUCCGUUUCGUCGUCCUUCUUGGCUUGUUCAAGGUGCUCCUCGUGGAUUUUAUUUACGACGGCAUCACAUAUUACUCCAAUGUCCCCGCGGACUUGCUUGAGAAUAACACGGGGUACUCCUCCAGUCAUGCGGUUUUCUUCACCCUCUUCAACAACGUUCUCGUCGUCUUCAUGAUCCUUAGCAUCGACAUCCUGCAAGACGUUGCCACGGGUUACUCAAACUGGGCCAUUGUACACUACGUGUGCGACUACGUCUACAUGAGAAGGAGGACAGACGGCGACGGCAGCAAGGGUUGGUGGAUGAUGGUGAAGCGGUGGUGGAACCGGGGCUUCGGCAUUCGUCGAAUGCUCAUUAAAUGGGUGGCGGCACGCCGGGCAAAGAACCCGUCGCACUGGUGGGAUAACAAGCUCGGCCAGUACUCGCUUCUCAACUCCUGCAGCUACACCGCGCACAAGACGAAUGCCUUCUCCCUGUUGACCCUACGCCUGCUGGAGAAGACAGGAGAAGGCCGGAAGCGCGACAAGGAUGUUGCCCUGACGGACGAAAUCAAGGAGGAGGUUCUUAGCUCCCUCAGGAAAAGUGGUGGCCGGCUGUCGGUCGACCGUUUAGGCGAUCUGAGGAACAAGGUGUUGCAGCUGGACUGGGUGCUGUUCGACCUCUCGAGCAGCACACACAUGGUCCUCGUGUGGCACAUUGCCACCACCAUAUGCGCCAACCAGGAACAACAGGACCAGGGCACCGACCAGCUCCCCAGUAGCCGCCGUGUUGCAACCACACUGUCCAGCUACUGUGCCUACCUGCUUGCUUUCGUCCCGGACAUGUUGCCCGACCACAGCUACACGGCCACGCAGAUCCUGGACGCCGUCAUUCUAGAUGCCCGAGAGCAUCUCGGUACAAUCAAAACAUUGUCGGGCAGAUGUGAAAAGAUGUUACAAUUGGGAAAGCCGGACAGCAGCAGCAACAUACCAGUGCAGCAAGACAUGUCCAUCUUGAUCCUUGGAGCCAGCCUGGCAGACAAGCUCUUGUCGGAGAACAAGCGGCCGCCGUGGAAGCUGCUCGCGGGCUUCUGGGCCGACCUGGUGCUCUUCCUGGCGCCGUCCGACAAGGCCGACGUCCAUGCCGACCACCUAGCCUCCGGCGGCGAGUUCAUGACCCACCUUUGGGCGCUGCUCACGCACGCGGGCAUUGUUCACCGUCCAGACAUCCCUGCUGCAUCAAUUCCUUGA
rnacentral:rRNA from 1 species